GUCCCCUGCAUUGGCAGGCGGAUUCUUAACCACUGUGCCACCAAGGAAGCCCCAUUACUCUCCUUUAGGGCCACCUCUGAGUGGGACUGUAGAGCCGCAGCCAUCCACUCCUGGACCAUCUGUAAACCAGGAUCAAGGUUUUUCCUCCUCAAUCUACUGGUCAUAAGGACCUCCCUGUGAGGCCAUAGGUGUGGAUUGUGGGUGAGGAGACACAGCCUAUCAGCACAUUUCGACAGACGCUUUAGGUACGUGGUCUACCUUCAAAGGCACAACAGUUUUACCAAAUGUUUUGCCGUGGUAGCACAGGGCUCACUGGCUUCCCAGCCCACCUAGAUGCAUACUUACACCAAGGGAAAAGCAGCCCCUGCCAUCUGGGAGCCGGCCUGGCGCUCACAGCUACGCCAUGGCGUUCUCCUGUUGAACGUAAACAAGUUCACAGAACAUGACCUAGAUGGAUCGAGACAAAAACAAGAGCACCCUGUAAUCAGGUCUAAACACAGAAAAAAAUGUUUCAAAACCACGAAAAAUGACCAAACAUUCCCCCUCUCUUAUCUACUAUGAGUGAUGAAUGCUUCUUUACCAAGUGCAGCCUUCCCUCCUUAUAGAUGAGUUACUAUGAUAUUCAAGCAUUUAAUUUCCCCCACUACCUGACAGCGUCUAAUCCUGCUUCCUAUUAAACUUUCACCAAAACCACCUUUUACAAGCCUGUAACCAAGUGCCUUCUACCAUCUUCUUACUGAGACACCCCAUGACUCCCAGGUGUGUGGUCAGCAGUGCGGAGUGAAGUCAACUUUUUUUUGCCACCGUCCGCGUCUUGCGGGAUCUUAGUUCCCCCACUACGGAUCAAAUCCGUGCCCCCUGCAGGGGAAGCAUGGAGUCCUAGCCACUGGACCACCGGGGAAGUCCCCGGAGUAAAGUCAACUUGUUCAGUGACAGGUGUGCUCCUCUGGUCUUUAGCUGGAGGGCAGUGACAUCACCCACACCUCACCUGUUACCACAGGUGGUAAGGCCACAUUAUUUCUAGCAGCAAAACCUGGGGCAGUCAGGGUGCGGGGAGCAGAACCACGGGAGGUAAUCUAAGCAAGGCUGACUUACUAAACUUGAUCAGGAAGAGCUGGAGGAACAAGGUCUGGGCUUGGCCUCUGGGAACACUUCCAGAGUAACAAAAACUGCCUGGGGUGGGGGUGGGGCUUCCGCGAUCUAAGAACACUUCUAGAGUAACAAAAACUGCCUGGGGUGGGGGUGGGGCUUCCGCCCUCUGCGCACACUUCCAGAGUAACAAAAACUGCCUGGGGUAGGGGUGGGGCUUCCGCCCUCUGGAACACUUCCAGAGUAACAAAAACUGCCUGGGGUGGGGGUGGGGCUUCCGCGCUCUGGACCUGCCUCUAGAGUCACGAGUUUGCAAAACAUCCAGAGCUACCAUUCCAGGUUCUGGCGCCCAAACAGAGAUGCUUCUGCUGCUACUCUCACUGCUGCCCCCGCCUGCCAGCACCCGGGCAGCUCGGAGGAGACACGGGAACAUGCUCAGAGAGUCCUCAUCGCUUCACGACCUUGCUCGUCGGCAGCAAAGAGCAAAGAGCAGCAGGGGCAUGGCCUCCACGCCCUUUCCCACUUCCAAAGCUUCUGGAAUAUCAUGCAGUUUGCCGACUCCAAUUCCCAUGCAGAUCUGAGACGGAGGAAGUGCGGACACGCGGCUGUAGCAAUUCCCCCAACGCGGCCUCGAGCAGCUGCACGACCCACUUCCAGAUUUCUCUUUUUCUUUUUUUUAACAAAACCAAACUUUUGGGUUUAACCCCACUGGGUCCGGACUUCUGACUGGCGCGGGCAAGAGCAGGGUCUCCCCGGGAUCUGGGUCUGGGACUCUGACUGGGCUCCGCAAGCAGAAGCCCAGGUAUCAGCUGCGGCAGAAAGGGCUCCUGGGGCUCCCUCGGAAAGGCCUACCCUGCCCUGCCCUGUCGGGGGAGGGGGCUGCGUGGGCAGUGUGGGUACAACUAGUCAACGGUGGUUUCAGGUGAAAUGGGGACAGACACUCAGUUCCAAAGGCAUGAAGGCCCCGGAGCCGUCUGAAGGUAUCUUGGGGAGGGCAGGCACUGGGGCGCUGAGGAAGCCCACAGGGGGAUAUCUCUCCAGAUUCCAUCUGUGCAGGCAGUGAACCCCCGGCCUCUCCCAGACGGGCCUCUAGCACUUUCCUUGAACCACAGCACAGGAGGUCAGGGCUUCCUGGGGUGCGGACACCGGAGCGCGAACUCUCAGACGUCCUGUUACACAUGCGUGUUGUGAAGUCACACUCGGCUAGUUAGUGAGGCCCGCCCGCAUUCCAGGGAGGACCGCAGGCCGCAGGGGAGACCUCGCACCCGGGUUGGCAGCCGUGGGCGGGGCGAGGAGGGGCCGCGCAUUCCAGCGGGCGGAGGCGGGUCCCGUGGCCCGGCUGGCUGACCGCGCCUCCCGCCCGGCCGCCAAUGCGCCUGCGCCUGCGCGGGGGCGGGGCUGCGUAGAAUCAGCUUUUAUGGAAAGUUGGUGUCUGUGGCGGGAUCGCGGUCUGUUACGCAGAGAGGCCGGGACGCGGGAAGUCUGGGCUGCCGUGGGCCGGGAGGCAGGGGACGGGCCGGGCCACGAAGGGCCCCCGACGCCGGCCCCCACUAGGUGUUUGUGCUGCGGCGGCGGCGGAGGGGCCAUCUCUGGGACGAAGACGCAUUCGGGUGGCGGGGAAGGAGCCUCUCAGGGCAGCGACUUCGGUACCUCCUUGGUGACUUGGAGGGAGGGGCGUGUCCAGAGGAGGACGUCCUUGCUCAAGGUGUAAGCCAUUUUGAAGAUCUUAGAAGGCUAAAGGGCUGACUGAUAAGGACCAGAUAUCAUACUGGUGGGAACAGCUGAGCACCCCUGUUCUCCGCCCAUGGAUCUUGCAGGGCCAAGGCCACGGCACAGGCUGGUCCUCUACCCAGCCAGCACCAAGGCCCCCAUCUGGGGAUGCUGAAGUGGUGGCACAGGACCUCAUUGGAGAUUCCACCUCAGGUUAGUCUCCACCUCAUGCUGGACCUGAGUGCACACCUGGUCCACCUGGGCCUCACUCUUUGCUGGGACCUCCAGGCCCCAGCACCGCCCCUAGCAGGCCAGUGUGUGCCCUGCACUGUCAGCCCCUCAACUCACCUGCUGAAGCUUCCACCACCACCCAAUGUGCUUGCCAAGGUCCGGGUGGCCCUGCAAGGCAUGAAGAGCUUGUGGAAUUUUAUACCCCCCCAUUAAACUACCAUUCAAGAGUGAGGAUAAAAUGAAAAUAUUUUCAGAGAAACAAAAAUGGAAAGUGUUAGUAACAGACUGUGAUUAAAGUAUGUACUUCAGGAAAAAGGAAAUUGAACCCAGAACGAAGAUUUGAGAAGAAUGGUGAACGAAACAGAUGAGGCAAGACCCAGAGAAGUCAGUGAACAAACUGAGUCUGGGUGAUCCCAUUAUUUCAACCUAUUAGACAACAAAAAAAGAACCUCCACAUUCCAAGGAGUGACACGAGAACCCUUCUGCAUACAACUUAUUAAGAGGUGUCCGACUGAUUCGGGGACCAUAUCACUCUCAACAGGCUAUUGAAGAGGAAGUUUAUGGUAAUGGUGGCCUAGGUAGUCUAGACCUGCCUGCCAAAGACAAGUGAACUGAUGAACAAGAUCUAGAAAACAUAUUCUUCAGAGCACCAGAGAGCUUACAAGAUAACAACUCAGAGAAAACAACCCAGGCAGCAUCACACAGUAGGAAUCCGGAGAAGUGAGUCUGGCAGUUGGGAAAGCUUUUUCCCUAGGGACAAAUCCAGGAGAGAUGGAAGGCUGUGCUGCAUCUUCGAAAGCCUCAGUGGCUUAGAGGUGUUUGUCUGUAGAGAUGACCAAUGAUGACUCCUGCACACACAGUUGCUCCUUCCAUAAGGAGGCGAGUCUGUUUGCUUUCCCUUAGAAUCUGACUUCCUUUGACUAAUAGAAUGUGGCAUUAAGUGAUACUGUGUCAGGUCCAGGUCAAUGCCUCAAGAGGACUAGCAGCUCCUCUCUGGUCCUCUUGGGAUGCAGUCGCCAGAUAAAGAAGUCAAGACUAGACUACUGGAUGGUGGGAGACCAUAUGAAGAGAAAGAGAGAGCUGAAGCCAUUCCAGCCUUCCCGGAUGAGUGAAUACAUGCACAUUCCCUCCCCAGCUGAGCUGCAUAAGUGGCUUCAGCAGCAGAACUGUCCAGCUAAGCCCAGUCAAUACUCAGAGUCAUAAGAAAUAAUACAUCUUUUAAAUUUAAGCCACUGAGUCUCUGGGUUUCUGUUAUGCAGCAACAAAUAAUCAACAGAGUCUGUGGCCCACCAAGAUUGGGGCCCCAGGGAAAACACGUGCUACUUUGAGCUGGAAUCUUAAAGGGUUGCACCCUAGAAGUGAGGGUUAACUGGAAGUAAAUCAACCUUCAGAGAGUCUGGAGCCCAGCUUUAGGAAAAUCUUUUAAGGAAAUCUCAAGCCCUGAAAUUAGAUUAAGCCUGAAAAUUAGAUUAGAUUAAGCCCUCUCUUAUGGUUAGUGCUCCCAGGCACCCGGAAAAAAACAAUUAAAACUCUUCUGGAGAAAGAGAACAACCUAAGCUUCAAAUUGUUUCAGUGAUUUAUCCAAUAUGUAAAAAAGAUCAUCAGGCCCAUAUGAGAGAUGAAGAAAAAAAAAACAAGGAAGAAAAAAAAAA